GAUCAUUACCAAAACAUAGCUGUCUGGCCGCAAGGCCCUGACGCUUCAACCCUUUGUGAACCAAAAAACCUUUCGCUUCGGCAGCUGUCCUCUGGACGUCAGCCUGCCGCUAGCACCAAAAACAUAAACUUGCAGUAAAACACUGUCUGAUACCAAAUUUUCGAAUGAAAAUUAAAACUUUCAACAACGGAUCUCUUGGUUCCCGCAUCGAUGAAGAACGCAGCGAAACGCGAUAGUUAAUGUGAAUUGCAGAAUUCAGUGAAUCAUCGAGUCUUUGAACGCACAUUGCGCUCACCGGUAUUCCGGUGAGCAUGUCUGUCUGAGCGUCAUUACAACCCUCGGUCCACACCGGUUUUGAGCGAGCGCCUGGGUCUCACCACCCGAGCUGGCUUUAAAGUUGUAAGCUCUGCUGGCUGCCCUGCCCGACUUGAACAUAGUAAACUUUGCUUGUUCGCGGUUGAGGUGGAAGCGGUACGGCCUGAACAAAACCUACCAUACUUUUAAGGUUUGACCUCAGAUCAGAUAAGGAUACCCGCUGAACUUAAGCAUAUCAUA
rnacentral:rRNA from 1 species